UUUGUGACUUAACUCGUGCUCAUAAUACGAAUCUGAAAAUAAAAUAAAGCUGCGAAAUAUAUAUGUAUAAAAAAAUCAGUUGAAAAGACUCACUGAAAUGGACUCUUGUGUAAAUGAGCAGCAAAUCAUUAACUGGUCUUUAGAGACUCCCGUCAGCAGCCAGGAGCCCCAGUGAGAUCCUCUGGUUGCUCCUCCCAAGUACCUGCUCUGGAAAAGUCUAUAACAUCAACAGGUAUAUCGGGAAAGGUCGGAACCAAAGUGGCCCUGCAAUGUUGUUGGUCCUGCCCUCCAGGGGCUUUCGGUCCAGGGAGAAAGAGUGGUUCACUGACUGGAGCACGAGCUCUAAUCGCCACGUCUCCUAGAUGCUUGGACAGUGACACGAUAGAAACGGAAAAUUGGAGACACUCCCUCUCUAGCAUCAGAUCACUUCUGGUCACUUCCUCAUGGGCAUUAUUAAAUCAACUGAACAGCUAUCUUUAAAAUCCCCAUUAGGUUUCCGGGGAAACAAUAUUUAUAGAUACUGAGAGCCACCUUCUCCAUUCUUUUUCAAAAACAAAAUAAGAUAAAUCAAUAGGAAAUUUUCCAAAAUUGGGAAAAAUAAUACAGAGUUAAGGAUUUUUUUUUUUAAUUGUGUUUAUAAGACUAAGAAAGCCCUUCCCACGGAACCCUGGUUACUGCUAUUGCCACAGUGGCUAUUGCCACUGUCACCCUCUGGGAAUGUAGUGUGGAGUGGAGGGUCUUUGUCACAUCCCAUUGUCCCUAGAGAGUGAGUAUAAGGGGCUGUCCAGACACGGGGCUGGGAUGCUAUGGCAAAGACAGCGAGGGGCAUCCCACUUCGCUGAAUCAGGGUCCUGAAUCUUAGUGUCUCCUGGAGCUGUCGUGCCCAGGAGGAAUUAAAGGGGUGCAGCACGGGGUCCCGUGAGGACAAGGCUGUCAUCUGUGUUGACUCAGGCAGCAGAAGAGUUAGCGACUCCUCACGCUACACCAUGACCUCCAGCAUAGGAAAGCUUGCAGUCUCUGCCAAGGUCUCAGAAUCAUCCUUCUGGAGGAGCCAACAGGCACGAGAGGACAUAAAGGUGACAAAAUGAAGAAUGCUAACUUUUCAGCCUUCCUGGCAAGCUUUCUGAGGUGACAGGGUUGGAUGGGGUUCACCAAGCGAGUCUGGCAAACCUACGUGCUACUGGAACCAUAGCAGCUUUAGGCCACUUUUUAAAGUCAUUUAAAAGAAAGUAAAAUUAAUGUAGGGUGUUAUGAAUGGAGGGUUUGUAUUCCCCCAAACUGACAUGUUGAAAUCCUCAUCUCUAACAGAAUAGCGUUAGGAGGUGGGGGCCUUUGGGAGGUGGUUAGGUCACGAGAGCAGAACCCCCUGAGUGGAAUUAGCACCCCGUAUAAGAAGAGAGCUUGCUUCCUUCCUCUGCUAGCUGUCACGGGAGGCUACAUCCGUGGACAUAGCCAUCUGCAAGUCGCAGCGGGCUCUCCCCAGAUAUCCCAUCUUCUGGUGCCUUGACCUUGGACAUCCCAGGCUGAAGAACUGUUAAGAAAUAAAUACAUGUUGUUUAAACCA
rnacentral:lncRNA from 12 species